AUGAACGCUAGCUACAGGCUUAACACAUGCAAGUCGAGGGGCAGCAUGGUCUUAGCUUGCUAAGGCUGAUGGCGACCGGCGCACGGGUGAGUAACACGUAUCCAACCUGCCGUCUACUCUUGGCCAGCCUUCUGAAAGGAAGAUUAAUCCAGGAUGGGAUCAUGAGUUCACAUGUCCGCAUGAUUAAAGGUAUUUUCCGGUAGACGAUGGGGAUGCGUUCCAUUAGAUAGUAGGCGGGGUAACGGCCCACCUAGUCAACGAUGGAUAGGGGUUCUGAGAGGAAGGUCCCCCACAUUGGAACUGAGACACGGUCCAAACUCCUACGGGAGGCAGCAGUGAGGAAUAUUGGUCAAUGGGCGAUGGCCUGAACCAGCCAAGUAGCGUGAAGGAUGACUGCCCUAUGGGUUGUAAACUUCUUUUAUAAAGGAAUAAAGUCGGGUAUGCAUACCCGUUUGCAUGUACUUUAUGAAUAAGGAUCGGCUAACUCCGUGCCAGCAGCCGCGGUAAUACGGAGGAUCCGAGCGUUAUCCGGAUUUAUUGGGUUUAAAGGGAGCGUAGAUGGAUGUUUAAGUCAGUUGUGAAAGUUUGCGGCUCAACCGUAAAAUUGCAGUUGAUACUGGAUGUCUUGAGUGCAGUUGAGGCAGGCGGAAUUCGUGGUGUAGCGGUGAAAUGCUUAGAUAUCACGAAGAACUCCGAUUGCGAAGGCAGCCUGCUAAGCUGCAACUGACAUUGAGGCUCGAAAGUGUGGGUAUCAAACAGGAUUAGAUACCCUGGUAGUCCACACCGUAAACGAUGGAUACUAGGUGUAGGGAACGAUAUGUUUUCUGUGCCGAAAGCAAACGCAAUAAGUAUCCCACCUGGGGAGUACGGCCGCAAGGUUGAAACUCAAAGGAAUUGACGGGGGCCCGCACAAGCAGUGGAGUAUGUGGUUUAAUUCGACGCAACGCGAAGAACCUUACCAGGGCUUGACAUAUACAUGAAAAUCUAAGAGAUUAGAUCCCUCUUCGGAGCAUGUAUACAGGUGGUGCAUGGUUGUCGUCAGCUCGUGCCGUGAGGUGUCGGCUUAAGUGCCAUAACGAGCGCAACCCUUGUUGUCAGUUACUAACAGGUGAUGCUGAGGACUCUGACAAGACUGCCAUCGUAAGAUGUGAGGAAGGUGGGGAUGACGUCAAAUCAGCACGGCCCUUACGUCCGGGGCUACACACGUGUUACAAUGGGGGGUACAGAGGGCCGCUACCACGCGAGUGGAUGCCAAUCCCUAAAACCCCUCUCAGUUCGGACUGGAGUCUGCAACCCGACUCCACGAAGCUGGAUUCGCUAGUAAUCGCGCAUCAGCCACGGCGCGGUGAAUACGUUCCCGGGCCUUGUACACACCGCCCGUCAAGCCAUGGGAGCCGGGGGUACCUGAAGUGCGUAACCGCGAGGAUCGCCCUAGGGUAAAACUGGUGACUGGGGCU
rnacentral:rRNA from 1 species